UGGUUGGGGACCAAAAUAAAAAUAAUGUUUAUCUAAUAAAGAUCUAUUUUUACUAUUUGAUAAAAUCAUAGUUUGGGUUUUCUUGGUGUUCACAUUUAGGCCCCAAUCAAUACAAAAGGAUUGUAUAAAGGCAUCCACACAGUGUUGCAAGCCAUUAGGUGUUUCUGAAAUUAAGAUUAAAUCAUCUGCAUAAAGAAGAUGACUAAAGUUAUUCUGAUUUAAAUUAACUGGAUCAGACAAAACGGGGUUGAAAUAGGAACAUUGUCAUCAACAAAAAUAUUAAAAAGGGUGGGGCUAAGACUGUCCCCCUGUUUCACCCCUAAAUUAGCAUGGAAUGAUUCACUAAUAAAUCGGAUUAUCGGAACCAUCUGUUUUACAACAAUAUAAUGUAUUACUAUACAUAUGUUUUAACAAGUCAUAAAAUUUCCCACCUAUUCCCUUUUUGAGCAAUUUAUGUAGUAAUGCCUU
rnacentral:lncRNA from 1 species